GCCGGGCGUGGUGGCUCACGCCUGUAAUCCUAGCACUCUGGGAGGCCGAGGCGGGCGGAUCACCUGAGGUCAGGAGCUCGUGACCAGCCUGGCCAACAUGGUGAAACUCUGUCUCUA
rnacentral:SRP_RNA from 1 species